rnacentral:rRNA from 1 species
UACGUAGGGUGCAAGCGUUGUCCGGAAUUAUUGGGCGUAAAGAGCUCGUAGGCGGUUUGUCGCCGCUCGGCUGUGAAAAACCCGGGGCUCAACCCCCGGGGCCUGCAGUCGAUACGGGCAAACUAGAGUGCGGUAGGGGAGACUGGAAUUCCUGGUGUAGCGGUGAAAUGCGCAGAUAUCAGGAGGAACACCGGUGGCGAAGGCGGGUCUCUGGGCCGUAACUGACGCUGAGGAGCGAAAGCGUGGGGAGCGAACAGG